rnacentral:lncRNA from 10 species
ACAGACUUCAGUUUGAUUAUGAUUUUAUAUUAUUUGUUUUGAUGUGCUUAAAUUUUUGCCAGUUGUUUUCUGAAUAUUUUCCUUAUAUUCCAGUUUUCUCAUUUGGAUAAUUUACACUUCCACCUGAGGAAUAGGUGUAUUAGUCCAUUCUUGCAUUGCUAUAAAGAACUACCUGAGACUGGGUAAUUUAUAAAGAAAAGAGGUUUAAUUGACUCACAGUUCUCCAGGCUGAACAGAAAGCAUGACUGAGGAAGCCUCAGUAAACUUACAAUUAUGGCAGAAGGUGAAGAGAAAGCAGACACCUCUUAACAUGCUGGAGAAGGAGGAAGAGAGAGAGAAGGGGGAAGUCCUACACUCUUUUAUAAACAACCAGAUCUCAUGAGAAUUCACUCACUAUUACAAGAACAGAAAGGUUCUUGGUUCAUGGUUCAAUCAGCUCCUACCAGGCUCCUCCUCCAACAUUGGGGAUUACAAUUCAACAUGAAAUUUCAGCAGAGACACUGACUCAAAUCAUAUCAGGGAUAGGAAAUACGACCUGUCUCACUUUGAUCCAUAUUGAAGGCUUCGGAUUUCCUUCAUUCUCCAAGUGAUGCAAAACCAAGAUUCUCACCUAAGUGCUGAAACGACCUCAUAGCACAAAGGGGAGACAGAAAUUUUAAAAGGUAAUUAUGAAACAUAAAACAGAUGCUAAAAUGAAUAGAUGGGCAUAGACCUGUGGGACUGCAAAGCAAAACAAAUUAUUAAGGGUUUGAUGGUCAGUGUUAUCUAAACAUUGUGUAAACUUUUAAAUGUUUAUGAAUCCCAUCUCAGAGGUGUAACUAAUAUUUGUUUGUGUGUGUGUGUGUGUGUGUGAUACACUGAGCAACUGUAUACCACCUAGCAAGUGGCAUUCUUGCUUAGCGACUUACACUGGCCUGUUUACUCACCCUGCUGUAAAGAUCUUCAUUGUCCUUUCCGAAGGAUGUAUUUCUUCCUUACUCUACCCAUGGUCAGUAUAUAACCUUCUGGUAGUUCAAGCUGUCUGCAGCAAAAUCCUCUAAGGAAAGAUGGCUGUCUAACUCUUUUCUUCAGUCUUUGAGGUAUUACACAGCUCUCAGCUCUCUGUGGGCCCUUUAUCCGGAAGGCAGUCUUGGCUCCAAAGCAGGCAACAUUCUUGUAUCUGUGCACUGCAAUUCUAGUCUGCCCCUGUAAGUAAAAACACAUUUAUACUCUUUUUCUUAUAUGGAUAAUUCUUCUCCAAAAGUAUAUAACACCCCAAUUGUUCUUUGGUUCACUUUUAUUUCUGCUCAAUGAGCACAGGAGAGUAACUUAAGAUCACAGUCUCAUUUGUAACCAAAGAAAGGACCUCUCGUCUCACAAGGUCAUGGUAAAGAAAGAACAAGACGAUUAAAUGGAACUUAUUGUAAAAUUAUAUUAUAGUCCAAAAGGGAAAAUAUGGAGUGAUUUAUUAGUAAUCUUCUCACCCAAAGUUUAGAAAAAGCACUUUAGUAUUAGUGGCAAAUACUUUUAUAUUAAAUAUAGCCAUGCAUAUUUUAUGGAAUGUUGUUAUCAGCAGAUUAGAAAAUACAAUAUAAAAACAUGACAAAGAUAUCCAUUCUAAAUUAAUGUGGAAGAAAGAAAUAAAAUGAACUAUUUGAAUAUGACAAGGCAGCCCACAGGGUUUUCUGUGUGACACCUUUAGAAAUCUUCACAAGGAAAAUCAUGGCAAGUUUAAGAGCACUGCAGUGUAAAAAGAAAAAACAAAGACCAGUCACAAAAGAAAAUCGAAGUCAUAUUACACUAACAAUAGCUAAAUAAAGCUAAGUCCAGUGUUUAAAACUUACAAAGCCAUGAGAGAGGCAAGAACUAGCCUCAGUAAAAUACAGAUGCUGCACGUCUGCUGAAAAUUGGAUAGAAGCAUAUUUACUCCACUGUUUUCUGUGGAAUGUACUGAAAACAAUAAAAGUAACAGAACCUACGUUUUUUAAAAUAAUGAAACAUAUAAAAGAUUUUCUUAAAAAGGUCAAAAUAUGAAUAACCCUGUUUUGGAAUAUAAAGUCUCAAUAUUCUGAAGAUGUCAAUAAACUAUUUUUAACUUCAAUGCAUUUAUCAUAAAAUUUUAACAAAUGUGUCACUCUCUUUGUAAGUGAUUCUAGCAUUUCAUCUGGACAACUAAACAGGUGAGAAAAACAAAAAAAAAAUCUAAAAGGGAAGAUGAUUAAGGCAGACAUUACCAGUUGUAAAAUAAAUUUGCAUUAUUAAAAAUUAUAUAAUAUAGGUAAGCACAUUUAUAUAUUCCUAGUUAGGAGUAUAAAUCAAGAUAUUUCAAAAAGUAGAGUCACCAGAUUUUAUGGGAACUUACUGUCUACUAAAGAUGGCAUUCCAGUCAAUGGAGAAAAUAUGAAUUAAUUGUUAUAGUAAUAGAAAAACUGAGUAGCCAGAAAACAAUAUAAAUUUUCUUAGAGCAAAUAUCAUUUGAGCUGGAUGACUGAAUUACAUGUAUAAAGCAAAACAUGAUAAUGUGAAAACAAGCUAACAGAUAAAGUUGCUCCAGAGGUAAAUGGACGUAUCGCUUUGAACAAAAAGUAAAAUCCUGAUUUAUAAAUGUAAUUAAUGUAUCUGUUAAAAUUCUUUGUGUUAUACACAUUAGAAACUUGACUAACCAAAACAAGAUAAUAAUUGGUGAUAAAUAAUUUAAUUGAAGGAAAAGCUAAGAAGGCAAGAGGACAACCUAAAAAUGUUCAGGGUACAUUUACAUGACUCAGCUGCAACAGUUUCCAAAUUUGAUAAUUUAAAUUUCACAAUUUCAGAAGAGAAAAUCUAACGACCCAGUCUCAGUGAAGUGCCUUUGAAUAAAAAGUUCACUGUGGUGGAAAUGGGGUCCUCUGGCUACUGAUAGCGUGUCCCAUUUGCUGAUGUGAUAUCCCUGGACACAUAUGUUUGUAAGCCAGGAUUAGCCUUGGAUUCUAGAACAAGUUUUAAAUAAACAGCAUCACAAUAAAUGUAAUUGAAAAGUCAAAAAACAAAUAUAAAAGAAGGGGGGAACAUUGUACAACACAUAUGAUAAAGACUACAUUUCCACUUUUAAAAGAGAAUAAUAAAAAAUGAAUUAAAAUGGAAAAAAAAAAAAAAAAAAAGGCCGGCGCAGUGACUCACGCCUGUAAUCCCAGCACUUUGGGAGGCCGAGGUGGGUGGAUCACCUAAGGUCAGGAAUUCGAGACCAGCCUGACCAACAUGGUAAACCCCCAUCUCUAUUAAAAAUACAAAAUUAGCCAGGCGUGGUGGCACAGGCCUGUAGUCCUAGCUCCUCAGGAGGCUGAGGCAGGAGAACCGCUUGAACCCGGGAGGCAGAGGUUGCAGUGAGCCGAGAUCGAGCCACUGCACUCCAGCCUGGGUGACAGAGUGAAACCACGUAUCAAAAACAAACAAACAAACAAAAAAACAAAAACAAGCCAUGAGAGAAUGAAUAUCGAAAUCAGUAAGGGUGGAGAUUCUAAAGAGGGCAGCUCAGAUACAGACCUCAGCUCUACUCCAGUGUACCUGUGAACUGGAGCAAGUUUCUUUUCCUCUGGCGUGUUUCCUCACCAGAGGAAUAGGGAUAAAAAUGGCACACAACUCAUGUUUUUUUUGUAGAUUAGAUGAAUCAAUUCAAGCAAAAUAUUUACUUCAGAAUCCAGAAUGGAGCAAGCACUCAAUAAUAGGUUUACUUGUUUUGAUAAAUAUUAUUAUUAACCCCUUAGGAAGGGACAACUUAUUAUGUACAUAAAAGUUUAGAGGUGGCUGGGCGCGGAGGCUCACGCCUGUAAUCCCAGCACUUUGAGAGGCCGAGGUGGGCGGAUCACUUGAGGUCAGGAGUUCAAAACCAGCCUGACCAACAUAGUGAAACCCCGUCUGUACUAAAAAUAGAAAAAAAUUAGCCAGGCUUGGUGGUGGGCACCUGUAAUCCCAGCUACUCGGGACACUGAGGCAGGAGAAUCGCUUGAACCCGGUAGGUGGAGGUUGCAGUGAGUCAAGAUUGCGCCAUUGCACUCUAGCCUGGGUGACAGAGCAAGGAUCCAUCUCAAAGAAAAAAGAAAUGUUUAGAGGUGAAGAAUAUAUACAGUCAGUAAACUUACGGGGAAAAAAACAAAACAAAACAAAACUUCAUUGAUAUUUAAAGUGAUGCAAUUUUAAACAAUUAGAGAAGUCUCAUUCUGCUUAUUAGAUUGCUAAAAAUUAAACAAUACCAACUAUCGCUGAGAGUUUUCAUUUGACCCUAAAUCGCUACAAACUUUUUAAAGGCAAUUAUUAUAAUAAUAACUCCAAAAGUAAGAUGCACGCAAAACCGUAUCAGUGACAGAGAUAUGUUGCCUUAGGAUCAGAAGCACACCCCACCAGCACCCUGGACUACCUGCUCUUUGCUUUGUCAGUAGGCUUACAUUGUGCUUGUCCAAGGCUGCUGUUUUCUGUUUUCUUUUCUUUUUCUUUUUUUUUUUUUUUUUUUUGAGACGAAGUUUCGCUCUUGUUGCCCAGGCUGGAGUGCAAUGGUGUGAUCUCGGCUCACUGCAACCUCGGCCUCCCAGUUCAAGCAAUUCUCCUGCCGAAGCUCCUGGGGCAGGUGGGGGGUGCCUGUGAUGGGCUCCUGAUCUCCCAGGCGGAUCCGAAUAAAUGUCAAAGUUGGCAAGACCAAACCCUAUUAUCAAGUGCUAUUGAAGCCUAGGUAGUAAAUAACGGGCGAUAUCUGCUUGGCUGCAGGUCUCAGCCUUGAACUUCAUUCUAGCUUCACCGAGAAACCUUGAAUUUGUAGGGUUUAGGAUAGUUCCCAUCACUCUUAAAUCACUUAUUUUCCCUUCCAUUUGUCUCAGUGUUUCCUCAUACACUACUUAAAACACAUUGAAGAGACAAAUGGUUAAUACCUCAAAUUUCCAACUUAAUCUAUUUCUAUACAUUCAUCUACAAAUUGAGUCAAAUAAAUAAGGGAAUUUAUAUGUACAGAAUUUUCCUUCCAAUAUUGUUAUAAUCAUAGAGAAAAAGAAAACUUUAUUUAUUAUUCCAGGACAGGCUAAAUAAAUUAUGAUACAUGCUUAAAAUGUGAUACUAUGUAUUUAUUUAAAAAGCAUAAUGUAAAUUCAUAUGUACUAAUACAAAAAAAUGUUCAUUACAUAUUAUUAAGAAAAACAGCAAGGUGGAUUACAGUAAGGGUAACAUGAUCAUUUACAUAAAAUAUAUUUAUACUUAUCUUGCAAGUUUGCCUCAAGGGCAGCAAUUUAACUGCGGCCCGUCAAAACCAGGCAAGGUCUGUUGGGCCUAAGUAAAAUAAUUGGAAGUCCCGGUUGUGAAUUACACGAUGCAUUUCAUACCUAAAUGCAAUCACAAUGUUUUAAAAUUUUUAAACUACGAUUGUGCUCAAACAAAACAAAAUGAUUUGCCUCAAACUUACACUGGGAAAAUUCUGAUACAGACAUUCAUAUUCAUUUAACACUUCUAGAAGUGAAAAAUUAUUCCUAAGAAAUUCUUAGGCCGGGCGCGGUGGCUCAUGCCUGUAAUUCCAGUACUUUGGGAGGCCCAGGCGGGCGGAUCACGAGGUCAGGAGAUCGAGACCAUCCUGGCUAACACGCUGAAACCCCGUCUCUACUAAAAAUACAAAAAAUUAGCCGGGUGUGGUAGCGGGCGCCUGUAGUCCCAACUACUCCGGAGGCUGAGGCAGGAGAGUGGAAUGAACCCGGGAGGCGGAGCUGGCAGUGAGCCGAGAUCGCGCCACUCUGCACUCCAGCCUGGGCGACAGAGCGAGACUCCGUCUCAAAAAAAAAAAAAAAAAAAAAAAAAAAAAAUUUUAACAGAAAUUACUAUUUUGGAAUGGAGCAAAGAUGGUGAAAGGUAACCUUAAUUUUACACUACGUACUCUUCUGUGUAGGUUUGCAUUUAUUUACUGUGGGCAUGUAUUUCUUUCUUCUGAAAAGGCUAAUGUAAACAAAUAUAUAUAAGAAGCCAACGAAAAACCUGUCUUAAUACUUCAAAUAUAUGCAACAUGCAUUUUUCAUAAAAAUAGGAAAUAGUUAUGUUUUGACACUCCCACUCCAGCAAUAUCUAACUACAUAUAUUUCAACAUAUGUUCAUCUACUAAGUUUUACUAUAAUAUGCUGAGGUUUUAAUUACAUAUAAAAUAUUUAUAAUAUGUCAUAUGACUUUGCACAUAUUUUUUAUACAUGAUGUUACUUCACCUGAAUUUUUCUUCCAUCUCGCUUCUUAAUAUCUGGUAAACAUAUGUUCAUUCUUCUCAAACUUGCAUAGGAGAUUUUCUUAUAUUAUUCCAAGCUCUCCUCUCCCCCAAUAGUGGUGACUCAGUUCCUCUCCUGUACCGUUUACUUAUGCUACAUACUUUUAUCAUGUAUACAUCGCAUUGAGUUAUUUAUCAUAAUGUUUAUUCUCUCUCUUCUAUACUCUGAAAUUUCCUUGAGAUCAGAAAUAACACUUUAUUUUUCUUAAUAUCACUAGUGCCAUGCAGAAUGCCAGAAACAAAAUUGGCUCACCAUACAUUUUUUAACUGACCUGAGAGAAAACAUUUCAUAUUUUUGUCAGUCUGUAAAUCAUCCCUACAGUAUAGAAGAAUAGUAAUGACUGCUAUUUAUUGAGGACUUACAACAACAUUUCUUAUGUAUUUGAUAUGCAUUAACUUAUAUAAGACUUAGAGAAACUCUAAAGAUAUUAUUAUGAUUACUAAGCUCAUUUUUUAGAUGAGGAACUUGAGAUUUUGAGUCAUUAAUUUUCUUGGCCAAACUAUGAUCUAGAACUUAAUUAUGAUAUCCUUAGUUUAAGAUUUGAACCUAAAAUAAAGAGAAUCAUGCAAUUACCUUAAGAUUCAAGAAAGCAUAAACUAAAAGUAAUGCUUUACAUUCUAUUUCUUCAGGUUUAGCAAUCAAGUAGAAACAAAACCCCCAAUGAAUAUAAAUGAAUUAGCUUAUAAAUACAUAUAUAUGUAUAUAUACACACAUAUAUAUACACACAUAUAUGACUAUAUUAUAGUAUUUUUUAUGAUGCUGAGACAUAUAUACACACAUGUGUGUAUACAUAUAUACAUAUGUGUAUAUAUAUAGACACACACAUAUAUAUGUGUGUAUUUAUAUAGACACACACACAUAUAUAUGUGUGUAUAUGUCUCAGCAUCAUAAAAAAUACUAUAAUAUAGUCAUUAAUUAUUGGAACGUGUGUAUUAGAAAACAUAGCUUGCCCAAGAAGACAGCAUAGAAGAUAAACAAAGCAAAUUACCGAUUUUAAUACUUUUAACUCUAAAGAGAUAUAAAUCCACAAGGACUAAAGAUAUCUCAAAUUAUGCUUUUCAAGAAGGAGCAUCACAGGAGCCCCAAAACAGGAAACCUCACAUAUACAGUUUAUAAAUAUUAUUUUUAAAAAUAUAAACCUAUCAAGAAUCAUAGAAAAAUGAAAUGUUCUAAAGCAAGAAGAAUCAGCCACUGAUUUAGUUAUAGUAUCAUCAUAUCAGAAAAAAGAGGAAAAGACUUAGAAAUCAAUUUUAUUAGAGCAUUUAAAUUUUAUUAAUAGAAAUAUGUAGUUUAACAAAAUGGAAAUUUGCAAAUUAAAAAAAUAUGUCUGUGGCCAUAAACCUGUGUUUAAAAAGCAGGAGAAAAGAAGAAAUUAUUUCCAAUCUCCACCCUAGUAUUAUUUAAUAUAAAAAUCCUGUGAAAUAUAAUUCCCUUACACUCUGAAAAAGAAUAUAAAAUACUUUCCAGCGUAGAAAUUCAUAUACUUGAACUUGAGUAAGGAAUUACAAUUCCCUGCUUUAAAGAAGAGUUACAACUUUAUCAUCUUCUCUGUCUGUAUUGAUCCCAAUUGGAUAGUUAUUGUCAGUGGUGAUGUAAAGGUAUAGGUAAAAACUUCAUUGCCAUUAAUUGCUAAUUGUAAAUAUAAAGACACACAGGAAAAUUCAGAAUGUCACUAUGCCUUGUUCUUCCGUACAUUUAUGUAAGAAGAAAGCACCCCGUGAGAAAGGCACCAUUCUCUACUAAAUGACCUGCUUGGGGCCUUAAGACUCAUGGUCUCCAAGCUGUUUAGUGGCCUGUGUCAAAAAAAUUACUUGUUUCAGUCCAAUUUCUCUCAAUUCAAUAACCCCUAAGCCUCUCAAAACAAAGCAAAGUUAAAAUGAUUUUCAAUUGCUUUGGACUAGGAUGUGUCAGGCAGUCACCACCAUUUCACGAACAUCAAUAGAAGAAAGCACUCACCCUUAAACCUUUCUCUUUUUCUCAUUAAUCAAAAUUCCAAUGAGCUGAUUUCUUUUUUAGUCUGCUCUAGAAGAGAUUUAUGAGAAAUGGGAUUUUUCUGACUCAUGACUUUGAGCUAAGUACUCUGGAUAUAUAUUCCAGAGAAAAACAACACAGCUAAUCAUCCCACUUAACUCUAAAUAAUAUGCCCUUGAUUACGAAUUGUAUUCCAAAAGUCCAGCAAUCAAGAAACUUGAGGAAAAUGAGAGCAUGGCUUUCUGUUCUCGACUCUAUUUCUUUGUGAAUGGUUUUACUUUCUGUGGUUUAUUUAGUCAUACAUUCUAAUAUAAGUUCAUUGUGUCAGAAAGGUAAAAUCACAAGAAUUAAGGAAGGAGGAUUUCACCUACUCAGCCGCCUGUCGUCAUCUGUCAACUUUCUACCCAUUCAUCACCUAGCCUGUCACACUUGACAUAAGCUUCUGAAGGGAUGGGCGAAAGGGAGGCAGGAGAGACUGGAUAAAUGUCUUCAUGAUCAUCUUUAGCAAUGUCAGGAGCUCAGCACUCUCAGUAUUUUAGACUUGCCUGUGACAGCUUUUCCACUAGCACUGAAGCUGCAUUCCAAAUUGAUAUUUGUGGUGGUGUGGAUUCUGGGCUAGAGCAGUGCCUUAGGCAAGCCAAAUUCUGCAGUUUGAUACCAGUAAACAAUAUGAUCUCUCUUUGUGUUUAUGUGGAUGUGCUGGAGUGGAAUGAAGGGAGGAUAACUUCAAAUGACAGUUGCCACAGCUGAAGAGAUGCUUUCACUCAUGAAACAAAUAAGCAAGCAGGAUGCCAUCCAUGAAGAUGAUGCUUCUGACUCACUGUAAAAAUAAAAAAAUACGUAUACUAUGAGGUGUUUCCUCUUUAUUGACAUCUACCUGAUCAGCCCAUUUGUGACCAACAAAUGCAAUUAUGAGGUGAGACAGCUGAUGGAGAAAGAGGUGAGAUGCCAGUAAGACGGGAUAUGGAGAGACGCAACAUAAAAGUUUUAGGAGAAAAAGCCAGACCGAGCCCAGAGAGCAGAAAAUAUGCUCCAGCUCAACGUUGCUAAUUGUAAUCAGGAAAAAGUAAAUUAAUCUCACCGUGGCUCAGUGACAAAGGGGAUAAUAAAUGAAUGCUACUGCAAAAGGAUACCAUAAAUUAUGACAAUGCUUAUGAAAGUAUUUAAAAGUUACAAAGUAUUAUUCAAGUACUAGUUAAAUAUUGCUUAUAAUUAUCUCAUAUCAAAGGGAAGCCAAUGGACUGAUAAUUGAGCUUUUAAACUUUGCCUUGGGAAUCAGAGAGAAUACAAAAUCUCAUGUUUUAUUAACUUCACUCUGUUUUCUUAUGGUCUAAUCUUAGUCAUCUUUUAGGUUUCCAUUUUGGGAUAUAUGUAAACAUGAAAGCAGUGGGAUUAGUAUAUAUCAAAAUAUUUAAGCAAUGCAUAUUUAGAGAAGUUGGCAGCACAGAAAUGAGCAACUUUUAAGAGUAAUUUUAGCCAUCUCAUGGGAAAAUUACAAUAAUAAAGUAAAACAAUGCUAAAUAAAGAUUUUCAAGGAUAAUGGCCGCUCAAAUCACAAUUCAUUUUUAUGACCUGAAUUUACAAGUUUUUUUUAAAACAAAAAACCCUACAUUUUUAAUUUUAUUGCAGAAAUAUCCUUUAGAAUUUAUGAUUCUAAUGGAAAAUAUCAGGAUUUUUCACUUUCUCUUUACUCAGUCAAUAGUCAGGGGCUGUACCGUGAUUACCUGACAUACAUUCAAACAAAUGUGAGCUCCCACAUUGAUCUAUCACUCUCUGGGGAGAAGAGCUCUCAGAAGCUCUGUUUCUGAAUAACAAGGUGAGAGUGAGUCGGUACAAACCUCAUUUGAAAGAAAAUGUCAGAUUUGGAAUAGAGAAACAACAGAAAUAUCACAGCCUUCCUUAGAAGAUACACAGGGCUGCAUUUCCUAAAGUAUGUCCUCUAGACACACUCUAUUAGAAAAUCUGAUGAGCAUGUAUAGCCAAAGUGUUUACUGCUGCUGACUGCCCAAAUCCAUUCUUAGAGGAAAAGCAUUGAAAUGCAGAUAACCUUAAGUUGUAUCCAAAAUAUAUUUAUAAUUUGAAACUCAAAGUUGAGCAAUGACUUCUUUGUUGUACCUAGACAAUACCCUGUCUGCCUUCUGUAGAAAUGCAUGACAUUUAUUCAAUUGGUGGGAACCCCCAGGGUAAAAAAGAGCUCAGAAAAUAAAACACUGAUCAAUUAUUUUUCAUUUCCCAAAAUAUUUUCCUUUUUAUACCCCAAAACAUCUUACCUGGACCAAUAUUUUAGCUUAUGAACUACCUACCUCCAGCUUCUCCUUAGUCCAAAUCAUCAUCAGGCCAUUAAUAGUCAGAUUUGGAUUUUCAAAACCCACCUCUGAUCAUGACUCUUGUUCUAAAAACUUUUGGAGGUUUUCCAAUGCUUACACACGCACACACACACACACACACACACACACAGAGCCUUCACAAGGCACAUGAUAACAUCGCAGCAAUGUUUUUAUCCUUAGUUCCCAUUAAUCCUUCAUAUAUAAACUCACACUACAGUCAGACAAAACCACCUAUUUUCUUUCUAACACUACCUGGGUUUUUCUUGUCUCUUCACACUGCUUUAUUCUUCUGAAAUGUUCUUACUCUUCUAUCUCUGGCUGGUUGAAAUUUUACAUAUCCUUCAAGUUCUAUCUCAAAGAUUAAACACUCAGUUUUCUGCCUGAAUAUCAUUUCUCAGUAUCCCAAAUUUCCUUUAAAAUACUCAGGAAAACUCAAAAGCAUUUGGUAAUCCUCCACAGUGGCUCUCAGUAGUAGAAGCCAAACUAACUAGAAUACGGGAAGGAUUUUCAUCAGUUACAAGACAUACAACUCUAAGUGUCAUUCCAAUUUGGCAAGAAAUGCUGGCUUGCUUGCUGUCAUUUGAGGAACACCACAUUGCAGAGCCUACAGAAUGGAAGCAUUUGUCUCCACCCUCUUGAAAAUCCUCCUUGUUAAGACCUAGAUUCUUCAAAUUUGUGGGGUUUUUUACAUUGCAUUUUAUUAUUUUUUAAUAACAAAAUCUAUUAAUCUUUUAAUGG